rnacentral:lncRNA from 1 species
AUGUUCCAGAUCUUCCUUUUGAGGUUACCAAUUAAUCAAACAUACUUCCUACGUUCCAGUGAGAACACAGAGCUCCUUUGUAAACAGAAUCUAAAUACAAGGGCUGGAUCUGAGAGCUUGAAGACAGCAUCCCUGAAUUCAGCAGUGAGCAUCCAUGCUGGAAUGCAGAAUUGGCCACGUAGUAACAUUUUAUUUUUACAGUGUUAAUAUGGGAUAUGGACUGGAUGGCUUCAAACAGGCAGCUGCUCUGUGGUGGUGUGGACGCUUUAUAUUGUAAAAAAUGUAUGCUGCUCAAAGAUCUCUUUUUUUCGUUUGUUUUGAUGUGUUUAUGAGGUACACUGGCUGGGCUUCAGAGUAUUCACUUUCCAAGAGCAUAAAACCAAAUAGAAAUUUGUAUUUGUUCACUGUGGUUUUCUGUCUGUCUCUGUAAAGCCCUAGCAAGAAUAGAACCUGUUUUCUGCAGGGUCCUUGAACUGACAGAUGUCACAUGGGCUUUUCAGAGAUUUUUGGAGUGAUUGCUGUAGCCAGACACCUAACUACAUUAGCAGGAGUCAAUUCCUAAACUCUUCCAAAGAUCUCAGCCUCUCCAAUUCAGUCAAGAUUCGAGUUUCUUCACAGGCCAGAUGAAAUUACUCUACAGAAUAACUGUGCAUAACAACGGAUAAAGGGCAAGUCUAUGCAUAUUUUGUGCACUAUUGCUCUUCUGGCUGCAGACUUGGCAUCGGUGGAAAGAAUUUGGGCAGCCAGUUGGAAAACUCAGCCUUGCAUAUUUUUCUAAAAAUAAAUAAUUGCUCUUUAAAAGAAAAAGAAGAAAA